GACGCUUGCCCAGGGAGGUUAAAAUGGAGAACACCGUUCUGAGAGAAGCCUUACUUGACAUAUAGACUAGAUCCAUGAGAGAGAAUCUGGUACUUACAGGUAUCCAAGAUAAAGAAAGAGAAGUUCCUGAAUCUGUAGUUAGAGAGUUCCUCCUUACAGCGCUUCAGAUUCCACUCGAAGAUAUCGACAAAACCCAACUCGAACGUGUACACUGCUUCGGACAGAGAGGGCAAAGAACAUGAGCCCUAGGACCAUGCCUCAGGACUACCUGGCCUGAUGACUCCUUGCUGUCCCCAGUCCACCUGGUCAUGCUGCUGCUCCAGUUUCAACUGUUCUGCCUGCGGCUAUGGAACCCUAACCUGUUCACCGGACGUGCUACCUUGUCCCGGACCUGCUGUUUUCGACUCUCUCUCUCUCUCUCUCUCUACCGCACCUGCUGUCUCUAUCUCUGAAUGAUCGGCUAUGAAAAGCCAACUGACAUUUACUCUUAUGGUACUGACCUGUUGCACCCUCUACAACCACUGUGAUUAUUAUUAUUUGACCCUGAAGGUCAUCUAUGAAAGUUUAAACAUUUUGGCCAUGUACUGUUAUAAUCGCCACCCGGCACAGCCAGAAGAGGACUGGCCACCCCUCAGAGCAUGGUUCCUCUCUAGGUUUCUUCCUAGAUUCUGGCCAUUCUAGGGAGUUUAUCCUAGCCACCGUGCUUCUACAUCUGCAUUGCUUGCUGUUUGGGGUUUUAGGCUGAGCUUUUGUAUAGCACUUUGUGACGUCGGCUGAUGUAAAAAACGGCUUUAUAAAUACAUUUUAUUGAUUGAUUGAUUGAGGAGUGUUUUGUGUGCUAUAGGGUGAGUGAGUGACUACGUUGUUGUUGUGUGUGUGAGUGAGAAUGUAGUCUACUGAGAAGUGCCUGGGGUAUGUUUGGUCAACAGCAGAUGUUCCACUGUGUUUACAUUUUACAUUUUAGUCAUUUAGCAGACGCUCUUAUCCAGAGCGGCUUACAGUAGUGAAUACAUACAUUUCAUUUCAUGCAUUAUUUUUGUUGUUGUUGUACUGUUCUAUUUAUUCAGUAACCUUUCUGCUACUAUGUCUGUCCUCAACACAAUGUUGCUGCCUGUUCCUCUCCAUGUCUCCCCCCCAGCCGCUGCCACACCAUAGAUCAUUCACAUGACAGACUCAACACAACCCUGUGCUUUACCUAGCCUCAGUGCUCUCAUUUCCUUAUACCCCAACCUAACACAGCCCCAGCCUUCUCUCAAAGUCCUGUAUCCCAGCCCAAACUAACCCAGUCACAUCCCAGCCCCUACUACCAAGCCACAGUCUAACCCUGUCUAAUCUCCAGUGCUUAGACUGACAUGCAUAUCUCUGGAAACAGUAAUUCAUUCUCUCAACACAAUGUUUUGACUUCUCUGAUACUAUCAUGAUGUAGCCUCCCCGGUGAUUUAUGCUUUUUCCAGCAUCCACAGUGUUUACUGUUUAUGAUCAUAAAUAAAGGCAGUCUCUACAAA